rnacentral:tRNA from 2 species
GGGUAUAGCUCAGUUGGUAGAGCGGCGGUCUCCAAAACCGCAGGUCGGGGGUUCGAGCCCCUCUGCCC